UGGCGGACGGGUGAGUAACGCGUCGGAAAACCUGCCGUAUACUGGGGGAUAACACUUAGAAAUAGGUGCUAAUACCGCAUAAGCGCACAGCUUCGCAUGAAGCGGUGUGAAAAACUCUGGUGGUAUACGAUGGUUCCGCGUCUGAUUAGCUAGUUGGUGGGGUAAUGGCCUACCAAGGCAACGAUCAGUAGCCGGCCUGAGAGGGUGAACGGCCACAUUGGGACUGAGACACGGCCCAAACUCCUACGGGAGGCAGCAG
rnacentral:rRNA from 1 species